AGAGCGAACGCUGGCGGCAGGCCUAACACAUGCAAGUCGAGCGCCCGUAGCAAUACGGGAGCGGCAGACGGGAUAGUAACACGUGGGAACGCGCCCUUCGGUUCGGAAUAACUCAGGGAAACUUGAGCUAAUACCGGAUACGCCCUUACGGGGAAAGAUUUAUUGCCGAAGGAACGGCCCGCGUCCGAUUAGCUAGUUGGUGAGGUAAUGGCUCACCAAGGCGACGAUCGGUAGCUGGUCUGAGAGGAUGACCAGCAUCACUGGGACUGAGACACGGCCCAGACUCCUACGGGAGGCAGCAGUGGGGAAUAUUGGACAAUGGCGCAAGCCUGAUCCAGCCAUGCCGCGUGGAUGAUGAAGGCCUUAGGGUUGUAAAGUCCUUUUAACGGGGAAGAUAAUGACGGUACCCGUAGAAUAAGCCCGGCUAACUUCGCGCCAGCAGCCGC
rnacentral:rRNA from 1 species